rnacentral:rRNA from 1 species
CAGCAGCCGCGGGAAUACGUAGGGUGCAAGCGUUAAUCGGAAUUACUGGGCGUAAAGCGUGCGCAGGCGGUUUGUUAAGACAGAUGUGAAAUCCCCGGGCUCAACCUGGGAACUGCAUUUGUGACUGGCAAGCUAGAGUGUGUCAGAGGAUGGUGGAAUUCCCGGUGUAGCGGUGAAAUGCGUAGAUAUAUGGAGGAACACCGGUGGCGAAAGCGGCUCUCUGGUCUGUAACUGACGCUGAGGCUCGAAAGCGUGGGGAGCGAACAGGAUUAGAUACCCGUGUAGUCCCUGUCUCUUAUAC